rnacentral:misc_RNA from 1 species
AGGUCGUAACAAGGUUUCCGUAGGUGAACCUGCGGAAGGAUCAUUACCGAGUGCGGGCCCGCUCUGGGCCCAACCUCCCACCCGUGUCUCUUGCGUACUUUGUUGCUUUGGCGGGCCCACCGGGUCACUCCGGUCGCCGGGGGGCGCUAUGCUCCCGGGCCCGUGCCCGCCAGAGCACCCCUGUGAACCCUGAUGAAGAGCGGCUGUCUGAGUCCCACGAUAAUCGUUAAAACUUUCAACAAUGGAUCUCUUGGUUCCG